rnacentral:tRNA from 1 species
GCCCGGGUGGCUCAGUGGGUUUAAGCAUCUGACUUUGGCUCAGGUCGUGAUCUCACGGUUUGUGGGUUCAAUCCCCGUGAUGGGCU